UACAGAGGGGGCAAGCGUUGUUCGGAAUUACUGGGCGUAAAGGGCGCGUAGGCGGCCUGCUAAGUCGAACGUGAAAUCCCCGAGCUCAACUCGGGAACUGCGUCCGAUACUGACAGGCUUGAAUCCGGGAGAGGGAUGCAGAAUUCCAGGUGUAGCGGUGAAAUGCGUAGAUAUCUGGAGGAAUACCGGUGGCGAAGGCGGCAUCCUGGACCGACAUUGACGCUGAGGAGCGAAAGCUAGGGGAGCAAACGGG
rnacentral:rRNA from 1 species